rnacentral:rRNA from 1 species
GAUGAACGCUGGCGGCGUGCCUAAUACAUGCAAGUCGAGCGAACAGAUGAGGAGCUUGCUCCUCUGACGUUAGCGGCGGACGGGUGAGUAUCACGUGGAUAACCUACCUAUAAGACUGGGAUAACUUAGGGAAACCGGAGCUAAUACCGGAUAAUAUAUUGAACCGCAUGGUUCAAUAGUGAAAGACGGUUUUGCUGUCACUUAUAGAUGGAUCCGCGCCGCAUUAGCUAGUUGGUAAGGUAACGGCUUACCAAGGCAACGAUGCGUAGCCGACCUGAGAGGGUGAUCGGCCACACUGGAACUGAGACACGGUCCAGACUCCUACGGGAGGCAGCAGUAGGGAAUCUUCCGCAAUGGGCGAAAGCCUGACGGAGCAACGCCGCGUGAGUGAUGAAGGUCUUCGGAUCGUAAAACUCUGUUAUUAGGGAAGAACAAAUGUGUAAGUAACUAUGCACGUCUUGACGGUACCUAAUCAGAAAGCCACGGCUAACUACGUG